rnacentral:lncRNA from 1 species
AAAACCUGCUCUCGUCUGCUUUAUACCAGACACUUUCUGGUGUCUGGAAUUUGCUUUUCAGCAGGACAAUAACCUACAACAAAGCUUAAUCUGUACUUACCAAGCAGACAGUGAGUGCUACUGAGUGGCCAAGUUAAAGUUGAGUCUGCUUGAAAAUCUAUGGCAAGACUUAAAUUGCUGUUUAGCCAUGAUCCAACACCUUGACAGUGCUUGAAGAAUGGGCAAAUAUUGCACAAUACAGCAGAGAAUGCAGAGAGAGUGUGGAGGCUAGUAGAGGUUUUAUUAUGCCCGCGCUCUGACACUCCCUCUUCCGGACCAGCUCGGCUGAAUGCCCUGGCUCCAACUGAUGCCAGCCUCGAUGAUCAUACUGAUAACGCUCUUAUACUGAUAUGCCAUGAAGAUGGAUCUAGUGCCCAGGGCACACUCACCUCCACCCUCCUCCACCUCAGGGUAGUUCUGACGGGGACACGACCUCCCACAACCUCCACACAUGGGGUGCCACACGCAGGGCGCCGGGGUGCCCCAGAGUCUCCUGCCCAAACC